UAAGGAAUAUUGGACAAUGGGCGCAAGCCUGAUCCAGCCAUGCCGCGUGAAGGAUGAAGGCGCUCAGCGUUGUAAACUUCUUUUGGACGGGAACAAUAACUCCGACUUGUCGGAGCUUGAGGGUACCGUCAGAAUAAGCACCGGCUAACUCCGUGCCAGCAGCCGCGGUAAUACGGAGGGUGCAAGCGUUAUCCGGAAUCACUGGGUUUAAAGGGUGCGUAGGCGGUCUUGUAAGUCAGUCGUGAAAUCG
rnacentral:rRNA from 1 species